CGAGUCAGAAACCGUUGAUGUAGGCGAAGGACAUGCGAAAGGUCCGGCGUAGAGGGUAAGACCCCCGUAGCUGAAACAUUGACGGCUCGUUUGAGAGACACCCAAGUAGCACGGGGCCCGAGAAAUCCCGUGUGAAUCUGGCGGGACCACCCGCUAAGCCUAAAUAUUCCCUGGUGACCGAUAGCGGAUAGUACCGUGAGGGAAUGGUGAAAAGUACCGCGGGAGCGGAGUGAAAUAGUACCUGAAACCGUGUGCCUACAAGCCGUGGGAGCGUCGCGCAUCAAGUUUACUUGGUGCGUCGUGACUGCGUGCCUUUUGAAGAAUGAGCCUGCGAGUUUGCGGUGUGUUGCGAGGUUAACCCGAGUGGGGUAGCCGUAGCGAAAGCGAGUCCGAACAGGGCGUUUCAGUAGCACGCUCAAGACCCGAAGCGGAGUGAUCUAGCCAUGGGCAGGUUGAAGCGGAGGUAAGACUUCGUGGAGGACCGAACCCACCAGGGUUGAAAACCUGGGGGAUGACCUGUGGUUAGGGGUGAAAGGCCAAUCAAACUCCGUGAUAGCUGGUUCUCCCCGAAAUGCAUUUAGGUGCAGCGUCGUGUGUUUCUUGCCGGAGGUAGAGCACUGGAUAGGCGAUGGGCCCUACCGGGUUACUGACCUUAGCCAAACUCCGAAUGCCGGUAAGUGAGAGCACGGCAGUGAGACUGUGGGGGAUAAGCUCCAUGGUCGAGAGGGAAACAGCCCAGAGCAUCGACUAAGGCCCCUAAGCGUACGCUAAGUGGGAAAGGAUGUGGAGUCGCAGAGACAACCAGGAGGUUGGCUUAGAAGCAGCCACCCUUGAAAGAGUGCGUAAUAGCUCACUGGUCUAGUGAUUCCGCGCCGACAAUGUAGCGGGGCUCAAGCGUACCGCCGAAGUCGUGUCAUUCCAGCAUUGAGGGCCAACGCCUGCUGGGAUGGGUAGGGGAGCGUCGUGUGCCGGGUGAAGCAGCCGCGGAAGCGAGUUGUGGACGGUUCACGAGUGAGAAUGCAGGCAUGAGUAGCGAUACAAACGUGAGAAACGUUUGCGCCGAUUGACCAAGGGUUCCUGGGUCAAGCUGAUCUGCCCAGGGUAAGUCGGGACCUAAGGCGAGGCCGACAGGCGUAGUCGAUGGAUAACCGGUUGAUAUUCCGGUACCCGCUGUGAAGCGUCAAACACUGAACCAGGCGAUGCUAAGUCCGUGAAGCCGUUCCGGACCCUUCGGGGAAAGGAAAGUGGUGGAGCCGACGGACCAGACUUGUAGUAGGUGAGUGAUGGGGUGACGCAGGAAGGUAGUCCAUCCCGGGCGGUGGUUGUCCCGGGGUAAGGGUGUAGG
rnacentral:rRNA from 1 species